rnacentral:sRNA from 1 species
UACACAGGGGUGCCCCGGUGGCCGAAUGGGUAAUGCGGCCACCAGGUAGCGCCUUGGCGUGGGGACCCAGGGUGCGUGGGUUCGAAACCCACAGGGGACAACAUUACAUCCGGAGCCAACUUCUCAGCUCCUAAAAUAAUGGGAUGUGAACUUGCCAAGUAGGUACCUUCGGGCGGACCUACUACCUGAUUUAGCUUAUUGUUUCUGGGCUGGAAACCUGUAUUGCAUGUACCAAUUCUGUCUUUCAUUAAUUUUCCUAUGUUCUUGUUAUUCUUGGCGCUGUUCAACACUAAGCAUUCCUCCGGUAUAACCAACUCUUGCCUGUAUUUAACAUCACACAAGGACUCGUCAUAAGCGCUGCUUGCAUACGAGUAUAACGGAAGAAUAAUAAUAAUAAUAAUAAUAAUAAUAACUACACAGGGGUGGGGGAAGGAAUCUCUCAAUAGCUUAUCAGAAUCAAGAUUUACUCAGAGAUUUUAGUCUUCUAUAUUCUUUGUG